UACGAAGGGGGCGAGCGUUGUUCGGAAUUACUGGGCGUAAAGGGCGCGUAGGCGGUCCUUCAAGUCAGGCGUGAAAGCCCCGGGCUCAACCUGGGAAUGGCAUUGGAAACUGGCUUGCUGGAGUGUGGCAGAGGGGGGUGGAAUUCCGCGUGUAGCAGUGAAAUGCGUAGAGAUGCGGAGGAACACCGAUGGCGAAGGCAGCCCCCUGGGCCAACACUGACGCUCAGGCACGAAAGCGUGGGGAGCAAACAGG
rnacentral:rRNA from 1 species